GAUGAACGCUAGCUACAGGCUUAGCACAUGCAAGUCGAGGGGUAACGAGAGGAAGGCUUGCUUUCCUUGUCGACGACCGGCGCACGGGUGAGUAACGCGUAUCCAACCUGCCCCCAACUAGGGAAUAACCUUGCGAAAGUAAGACUAAUACCCUAUAAUUUCCUCAGAUGUCAUCUGACGAGGAAUAAAGAUUUAUCGGUUGUGGAUGGGGAUGCGUCUGAUUAGCUUGUUGGCGGGGUAACGGCCCACCAAGGAAACGAUCAGUAGGGGUUCUGAGAGGAAGGUCCCCCACAUUGGAACUGAGACACGGUCCAAACUCCUACGGGAGGCAGCAGUGAGGAAUAUUGGUCAAUGGGCGGAAGCCUGGACCAGCCAAGUAGCGUGCAGGAUGACGGCCCUAUGGGUUGUAAACUGCUUUUAUACAGGAAUAAAGUUAGCCACGUGUGGUUAUUUGUAGGUACUGUAUGAAUAAGGACCGGCUAAUUCCGUGCCAGCAGCCGCAGUAAGAC
rnacentral:rRNA from 1 species